UACGUAGGGCGCGAGCGUUGUCCGGAAUUAUUGGGCGUAAAGAGCUCGUAGGCGGCCUGUCGCGUCUGCUGUGAAAUCCCGGGGCUUAACCCCGGGCGUGCAGUGGAUACGGGCAGGCUGGAGGCAGGCAGGGGAGAACGGAAUUCCCGGUGUAGCGGUGAAAUGCGCAGAUAUCGGGAGGAACACCGGUGGCGAAGGCGGUUCUCUGGGCCUGUACUGACGCUGAGGAGCGAAAGCGUGGGGAGCGAACAGG
rnacentral:rRNA from 1 species